rnacentral:rRNA from 1 species
GUGGGGAAUAUUGGACAAUGGGCGAAAGCCUGAUCCAGCCAUGCCGCGUGUGUGAAGAAGGUCUUCGGAUUGUAAAGCACUUUAAGUUGGGAGGAAGGGCAGUAAGUUAAUACCUUGCUGUUUUGACGUUACCGACAGAAUAAGCACCGGCUAACUUCGUGCCAGCAGCCGCGGUAAUACGAAGGGUGCAAGCGUUAAUCGGAAUUACUGGGCGUAAAGCGCGCGUAGGGGGUUUUGUAAGUUGGAGGUGAAAUCACCGGGCUCAACCUGGGAACUGCCUCCAAAACUGCAUGACUAGAGUACGGUAGAGGGUAGUGGAAUUUCCUGUGUAGCGGUGAGAUGCGUAGAUAUAGGAAGGAACACCAGUGGCGAAGGCGACUACCUGGACUGAUACUGACACUGAGGUGCGAAAGCGUGGGGAGCAAACAGGAUUAGAUACCCCGGUAGUCC